UGCUCUGCUGGUUUGCAGCCCUGCCCACAGCAGGGGGGUUGGAACUACAUGAUCUUUGAGGUCCUUUUCAACUCAGGCCGUUCUGUGAUUCUACGAUUAAGUGAACCAACUACCUAAUUCUCCUUUAAACGGCAAAAUCAGAAAAACAAAUGCCCUCUUUUCUAGAGCUUCUCUCCAGCAGUGCCUGCAUCUCACAUAGAAGAGAAACUGCUAACCUCCUCAUUGCUGAGGGCACGGGAUCAAGAGUAGCUGAGCCUGACCUGUAGUUCAUGGGAGCCAACAGGAACUCAGAAGCGAGCCUGCCACAAGUGUCCAGUCAUGAGGAGCUGAGCCGCUCCAGGAGUGGAUCAGAGCCACUCAGCCUUCCUGCGUGAUGGUAAAUAAAAUGAGCCAGCUCUAUACAAGGAUCACUGCCCCUGAGAACAACUGGCACAGCACAACUAUAGGGUAAGCUGAAUUUCCUCACUCUCUACACAGCAUGGUUGCAUCCAAAAUGCCUUCUUGGAGUCGUCCUUGUUGCAUCUUAAUUUCUAGCUGUAGUUGGAUAUGGUCCAGAAGCACCUGGAAGACUCUGAGUUCAUCCCAAAAAUGCUGCCAGACUUGGGCAGAGACAGCUGAAGAAUUACAGCCUUGUUCCUGGUUCUGCCCAUGCUCCUAUAUCUGGAGCAACUUUAUUCCUCUCUUCAGCUAAGAUCAUCCACCCUCCUUUCUGCAUGCUUCCAACUUACACUUGCAAGACAAAACAUUAGAUCCCUCCAAGGAGCAAUAGUCAUUCUGGUGCCCUGGAUGCUUGACACAUUGGAGAACAGGGUGCUAUCUCAGCAGCAGUUUUCUCCAUGGGCACUACUGUAUGAACCCCAUUAUGGAAAUGACAUCGCAGACCGACUUCUCAUUCUGCACUCCCAGGAAGCUUCAAGAUACCUGAAACAUAUCAGAAACCCAUAUGUUGGCAGCCCUGUCUACGCUUGGGAGCUGAUGUGGAUUCCAGGCCCAGAAACUCUCAUUCCACUAAAAGGAAGAUUAUACUAUUACACUGUAACAAAAUCUUGGGGAUUCAAUUUCCAAAGAGCAUAUUUGCCUUUGUUGGGAGUCCCACGCAUAUCUACUGUGGUAAGAGCAGCACUGUAAUAUCUGCUACUCAAAAGAACAGCAGCUACAAAGAGAACUAGCCACCAACAUCAGCAUCUUCACUUUUAUCUUCAAACAACACAUGGUAUUAAUCUGGAGCCUCGCAUUCCUAAAAGUACUGGAAUCAUGAAGUGAUUUGCUUCCAGCAGGACCCUGAAACACAGAGUAACACAAGGGAAAACAGUCAGAAUGAACAAUCAGAGCAAAAUAUGCCUGCUGUCAAAUAGACUCUAAGCUUUUAGCUUUUCACCCGACAUCACCCAGCUGAUGAUUUGCGGGUCUCAUUCUACUUCCAGCCGCACCGCCUAAGUCGUGGAGGUGGGAGCAGUUACUGUGAGUCACUGAAACUUGGGGCAGCUUCAGAGAGCGACACGUGUUGGGACAGGGCAGGAUUAAUAAGGUCAGAAUCUCAUUCGCACGUCAGUUCUGCUCUGGCAUAAGUAUGUGAUGCACUGCAGCUUGGUCAUGUUUCAGUGGGGUUGCUUCAGAUCUGCUUUACUCUUUGUGAGAUCAGAAUCUGUGGCUGAUAUCGGAUGAAAAGUUAUGGUGACACCGAGGCAAUUUCUUUUGUAUUUCAUGUGAAGAAAGCUAAAAUAAAUAGCAUGAAAGGCC
rnacentral:lncRNA from 1 species